UACGUAGGUGGCAAGCGUUGUCCGGAUUUAUUGGGUUUAAAGGGUGCGUAGGCGGUUUAAUAAGUCAGUGGUGAAAUACGGCAGCUCAACUGUCGAGGUGCCAUUGAUACUGUUAGACUUGAGUACAGACGAGGUAGGCGGAAUUGACGGUGUAGCGGUGAAAUGCUUAGAUAUCGUCAAGAACACCGAUAGCGAAGGCAGCUUACUAGGCUGUAACUGACGCUGAGGCACGAAAGUGUGGGGAUCAAACAGG
rnacentral:rRNA from 1 species